UCGUGUCAUCAUCAUAUGCAAAUUAGCAGCAAGCAUUAAAACUCAGACCGAGGCGGCACCAUUUAUAACCUCCUUAACAGCAUGGAGACAACAGACUUGUGAAAACAAAAGUGAAUGAACAGGGGUAAAGGUAACAAAUGCAAGCAAUUAAACUGCUUUUAAAACACCUCCUUCAGGAGUACAGAGGAUGCAGAUCUAAAGACAGGAUAUCAUCGUAUACUGUAAGUUCAUUACUGAGACACUACAGUAUAGAUGAUGUACUAUCAAGGGGGUCAAUACUCCUCCAACAGUUCCAACAACUCAUGCAUCCAUGGACAGAGAUUGGCGAUAAAACCGUUACCAUUACUGAGUUUAGUAAUGGUAAGGGUUCUUUUGCCUCUUUCAAAAGUCAUCUGGUAAAAAGAAGACAAAGCGAGUGACAAGCGGACAGGAUGACUUCAAAGAAAGAUCAUUGAUAAAAGAAUUCAAAUGUGUAAUAUUGUAUUCUGUGUUAUUACUGUAUUUUGUGUAUUAAUAAAUAUUACUGUAUUUGAAAUUAAA